rnacentral:rRNA from 1 species
AUACGGAGGGUGCAAGCGUUGUUCGGAAUCACUGGGCGUAAAGGGCGCGCAGGCGGUUUGAUUAGUCAGAUGUGAAAGCCCACGGCUUAACCGUGGAAGUGCAUUUGAAACUGUCAGACUUGAGUAUCAGAGGGGAAAGUGGAAUUCCCGGUGUAGAGGUGAAAUUCGUAGAUAUCGGGAGGAAUACCGGUGGCGAAGGCGACUUUCUGGCUGAAUACUGACGCUAAGGCGCGAAAGCGUGGGGAGCAAACAGGAUUAGAAACCCCUGUAGUCC